AGAGUUUGAUCCUGGCUCAGGACGAACGCUGGCGGCGUGCUUUAGACAUGCAAGUCGAGCGAACCUUCGGGUUAGCGGCGAACGGCGGAGUAAUACAUAAGCAACCUGCCCCUAAGACCGGGAUAGCCCCUCGAAAGAGGGAUUAAUACCGGAUGUGGCCUUCUGAGGACAUCCUCGGAAGAUUAAAACGCGCAAGCGGCUUAGGGAGGGGCUUGUGGCCUAUCAGCUUGUUGGUGGGGUAACGGCCUACCAAGGCUUCGACGGGUAGCUGGUCUGAGAGGACGAUCAGCCCGACUGGGACUGAGACACGGCCCAGACUCCUACGGGAGGCAGCAGUUUGGAAUAUUGCACAAUGGGCGAAAGCCUGAUGCAGCGACGCCGCGUGGAGGACGAAGUCCCUCGGGAUGUAAACUCCUUUUGCCAGGAAAGAUAAUGACGGUACCUGGCGAAUAAGCCCCGGCUAACUAC
rnacentral:rRNA from 1 species